AACGAACGCUGGCGGCAUGCCUAACACAUGCAAGUCGAACGGGAUCCAGGCUUCGGCCUGGUGAGAGUGGCGGACGGGUGAGUAACACGUGGGAACCUGCCUUUUGGUUCGGGAUAACCGCGGGAAACUGCGGCUGAUACCGGAUGAUUCCUGAGGGACAAAGAUUUAUCGCCUUUGGAGGGGCCCGCGUCGGAUUAGGUAGUUGGUGGGGUAACGGCUCACCAAGCCUAUGAUCCGUAACUGGUCUGAGAGGAUGACCAGUCACACUGGGACUGAGACACGGCCCAGACUCCUACGGGAGGCAGCAGUGGGGAGUAUUGGACAAUGGGGGGCAACCCUGAUCCAGCAAUGCCGCGUGGGUGAUGAAGGCCUUCGGGUUGUAAAGCCUUUCGCGGGACGAUGAUGACGGUACCCGCAGAAGAAGCCCGGCUAACUUCGUGCCAGCAGCCGCGGUAAU
rnacentral:rRNA from 1 species